GAUGAACGCUGGCGGCGUGCCUAAUACAUGCAAGUCGAGCGAAUGGAUUAAGAGCUUGCUCUUAUGAAGUUAGCGGCGGACGGGUGAGUAACACGUGGGUAACCUGCCCAUAAGACUGGGAUAACUCCGGGAAACCGGGGCUAAUACCGGAUAAUAUUUUGAACUGCAUGGUUCAAAAUUGAAAGGCGGCUUCGGCUGUCACUUAUGGAUGGACCCGCGUCGCAUUAGCUAGUUGGUGAGGUAACGGCUCACCAAGGCAACGAUGCGUAGCCGACCUGAGAGGGUGGUCGGCCACACUGGGACUGAAACACGGCCCAGACUCCUACGGGAGGCAGCAGUAGGGAAUCUUCCGCAAUGGACGAAAGUCUGACGGAGCAACGCCGCGUGAGUGAUGAAGGCUUUCGGGUCGUAAAACUCUGUUGUUAGGGAAGAACAAGUGCUAGUUGAAUAAGCUGGCACCUUGACGGUACCUAACCAGAAAGCCACGGCUAACUACGUGCCAGCCGCCGCGGUAA
rnacentral:rRNA from 1 species